AAAGCCCAAUUGAGUAACCCCGCUCUUAUUUUCACGAACUUUACUCAAAAUUUUCAUUUCCCACUUCUUUUGCAGUCGUUCCCGCUUCGACUGCUUCUAGACCUAGGGUUAGGAACUCAUAUCAGUUGCUUUCUUUCAGAUUUCGUUCGCUAUCUUCUUCAAUCGAGUCACAACAGUAUCAGCAAAUUAAGAGAUACAAUGUCGGUAAAUGGAAUGAAAUGAAGGGCCAGAGGUCCCGGAACUGGAGACACUACUAGGGAAUGUUUAGCUUUAGGCUACUGAUUUUGGUCUUUUAUAAGCCUGGAGGUGGUUGAAAAGUUGUAUUUAGAGGUCAAUAUAUUGCAAGACAAGGGGUUAGAACUGUGAAAGGAUAAAGAAUGACUUUCCCACAAAGAAGGUUGUUUUGGAUGAUCAUGUUGAAGUUGAGCGAAGAUUUAGACUUCGUAUUAGAAAUAUGCUUGGGGGCAAGAUGAACUUCAGAGAGGCUUCAGUUCCUGCAGUCCUGUAGGUGUUAGCUGCUUUGAUUUUGAUAGCUAUUGCGCUGAUGUAGGGCUUUUUCUUCUGUUUCUGAAAGAUGGUAAAGUCAGUUGUUGGUUCAGUUUGGAUGAUCUCCAGCCAGCCCGGUAUACUAGUCUUGAAAACAUGUUUAACAACUAUCGUAAUCUACAAACUAUCUCUGGUUUAUGGGAAGCCAAUUCACUCUAUCUGACUGUCCUUUACCCUGCUUGAUCAGAGCUGUCAUUUUUGAAUUUGAGUGAUACACCUUUACAAUGUGAUGAACUUACUCAGCUUCUUUAUCACUGUCUAAAUCUUCUUCGUCUUUGGCGGUGAAGUCAGAAUUAUUUGGGGAAGCACAUGACGUUAUCGAGUUAUAUUGUAUUAGUUGUUUCGUUGUUGCAUUGUAGUAGUUAAUUAGUUAUUUAUCUAGCUUAUUGCAGAUUAUUAUAUAACAUUUUCUUAGGUUUUUAAGACUAUUAGACAAUUAUAUAUCACCUAUGUAAUGACUUACUUUGUAUGACUUAUUUAUUUAUAAUAUUAUUUUUAUCUUAUAAUUAUUUGUGAUUA